rnacentral:rRNA from 1 species
UUCUUUAUAGCUUGCUAUGGAGGAUAAUUAGUGGCAGACGGGUGAGUAAUGCAUAGGAAUCUACCUAGUAGUAUGGGAUAGCCACUAGAAAUGGUGGGUAAUACUGUAUAAAUCCUGCGGGGGAAAGAUUUAUCGCUAUUAGAUGAGCCUAUGUUAGAUUAGCUAGUUGGUAGGGUAAAGGCCUACCAAGGCGAUGAUCUAUAGCUGGUCUGAGAGGAUGAUCAGCCACACUGGAACUGAGAUACGGUCCAGACUCCUACGGGAGGCAGCAGUGGGGAAUAUUGGACAAUGGGCGCAAGCCUGAUCCAGCUAUGCCGCGUGAGUGAGGAAGGCCUUAGGGUUGUAAAACUCUUUCAGUAGGGAAGAUAAUGACGGUACCUACAGAAGAAGUCCCGGCAACUCCGUGCCAGAGCCGCGGUAAUACGGAGGGGGCAAGCGUUGUUCGUAAU